UCCGAAUUGGUGUAGUGGCUAACAUUCGGGAUUCUCACUCUCAGAGAAAGACUCCCGAGCCCGGGGUUCGAUUCCCCGAUUCGGAG